AGGAAUAGAGCUUUUCUCUGGUGGUUGCUAACAGUGAAUAAAUACAGAUCUCCAGAGUGCUGUCUUUAUGAAACCACUCUUCUUACAAGAAACGCACUUUAUAAUCUCUUUGGAAGUUGGUUAGAGGAAGGAAAGGAAAAAAAAAGCUCAUGGUUCAGAUGAUCCUCUUGCCAUUCAAGAUCAGCUGUCAAAACAUUGUCAUUUAUUGUAACUUACUCGUUGAAAAAGUCAAACCACAAAUGUAUAAAUGGCUUUCGUUCAUAACACAAUUUAAAUGGAAUGUCUCUGAUACUUUUUUAAUUCGGACAUCAUGCCGUCUUUGUGGAAUUGUGUUGGUGUCACUUCCACUUUCUUGUUAAAGGUUGCUCAUCAAUGAUUCACAGCAUCCUCCUUUCAUUUUACUUUGACAAUCCAGCGUGGCCUCCAUAUGUGCAUACUCAAGUUGUUUCAUUCUGGUAUCAUAACAUCAUCUUAAUAGAACCAUAGAAACACUGUUUUGUCUCCAUAACGGUGUUAUAAUUACAUCAUAAUGUCUUGAAGCAAUCAGUAUUACAAUGAUAUGUUACAAAAAGUAUACGUGAUGUGUGCGUAGAAGUCUGUGCUGUAGCAUUUGUUAGGAUUGUAUGAAGUUUGUUUGCAGGUCUCCAAAGAGUGGUAGUUUGUAAUAAAUGUUUACACACUAAUUAGUGUUUGAGUAUAUUUCAGAAAAGAAAAGAAAACAAAACAAAACCAAAAAACCAAACCACCAACAAAAACCUUCCUACCUUGUCAGAAGUAAUUGCCUUUUUCUGUGUUAACUCAAAAAGAACUGACUUAUUAGAGCUAUUUUUAACCUAGAGGAUGACCGCAAGGUUGACAAUUUAUGAACCAAUUAACUCUCCACUUUUCUUUAGCACUCCUUGAGCAUCUCGGAACACUAUAAACUGGAAUGCGGGCUCCUUGCCACUCCAGUGAGGCAAAUAAGUAUCACUAUAGGCAUUUUACAGAAGUAUAAAAGAGAGGCACAGAACUGUGAAUUGCUUCAGGUCAUUUUGCAAAUCCAUAGCAGGAUUGCUACAAGAUGCAGAGAUUCCUGUGCGUGUAUAAGAAUGUGUGUGUGUGUGCUCACACGCAGUCACUCCUAUACAUGCAAAUCACCCACAGGCUUUAUGUGGGAAAAUAUGGUAGUAUUUAAAAUCUUAUAAAUGGAAAAUACCUUUAAUGUAAUUAAAAAAAAA
rnacentral:lncRNA from 1 species